UUUUGAGGUGAAAGAAGAGGCGAUGAAGUGGAGGGACGUGGAGCGGUGAAAAAACUAGUUUCCGCUCCUCUUCUUCAUCCUCCUAAUUCACUGUCAUCCCAGC